AUGGCCAUCGGAGAGUACGUGUCCGUCUGCUCCCAGCGCGACGUGGAGAUCGCGGAGCUGGACCAGGCCGGAAAGCGUGGCGGCGACGAGGAGAAGGCACUGCCAAGCCCGGCACAGGCCGCCGCGGCCUCAGCGCUGGCUUUCUCCGUCGGGGCGCUCCUACCGCUGCUGGCCGCCGGGUUCAUCGUGGGCUACAACCUGCGGGUCGCCGUGGUGGUCGUCGUGGCGACGUUGGCGCUGGCCGCGUUCGGAUGCGUGGGCGCCGUGCUGGGGCGGGCCCCCGUGGCGAGGUCGUGCGCGCGGGUGGUGGUGGGCGGACUGGCCGCCAUGGCCGUCACCUUUGGGUUCAUGAGGCUCUUCCGAGCCAGCGGCGUAUGA
rnacentral:rRNA from 1 species